GACAGAGGUGCCAAGCGUUAGGCGGAAUCACUGGGCUUAAAGCGUGUGUAGGCGGACUCGUAAGUACCUUGUGAAAUCCCACGGCUCAACCGUGGAACUGCUUGGUAUACUGCUUGUCUUGAGCCACUUAGGGGCUGUCGGAACAAACGGUGGAGCGGUGAAAUGCGUAGAUAUCAGGAGGAACACCGGUGGCGAAGGCGGGUCUCUGGGCAGUAACUGACGCUGAGGAGCGAAAGCGUGGGGGAGCGAACAGG
rnacentral:rRNA from 1 species